rnacentral:rRNA from 1 species
AGCGAACGCUGGCGGCAGGCCUAAUACAUGCAAGUCGGGCGCCCCUUCGGGGGAGCGGCGGACGGGUGAGUAACGCGUGGGAACGUGCCCUUUGGUACGGAACAACUGAGGGAAACUUCAGCUAAUACCGUAUGUGCCCUUCGGGGGAAAGAUUUAUCGCCAUUGGAGCGGCCCGCGUUGGAUUAGGUAGUUGGUGGGGUAAAGGCCCACCAAGCCUACGAUCCAUAGCUGGUCUGAGAGGAUGAUCAGCCACACUGGGACUGAGGCACGGCCCAGACUCCUACGGGAGGCAGCAGUAGGGAAUCUUGCGCAAUGGGCGAAAGCCUGACGCAGCCACGCCGCGUGUAUGAUGAAGGUCUUAGGAUUGUAAAAUACUUUCACCGGGGAAGAUAAUGACGGUACCCGGAGAAGAAGCCCCGGCUAACUUCGUGCCAGCAGCCGCCGUAA